ensembl:lncRNA
GCCUGGUACUGAGCCAGGCUGGACCCGGGAGAUGUGAGCGCCGAAUGCAGCAGCCCCAGCCCUAGACAGAGAUGGGGAACAAGGUGGAGGAGGGGACAGUGGGCGCAGGAAGCCCAAGACCUGAGUUUGUGCCUACCCUGAACCCGACGAUGGUGGAUGGUGCUCACUCGGCUCUGAUCUGUUCCAAGUUUCUACCCACAUCUUCCUCUCCGGCUGGUGCUCCAAGCAGUGAGCACCUGUCAUGAUUCCGCCUCCUCCAAGCAUCCAGUACCUGCCCAUCUGACCUCUUCCAUCUCCCUGGUCAAAGAAGUCUGCAGAUUUUUCGACACUGGAAACGACUUGCUAUGACAAGUACCUGACAUCUAUCCCUUCUGAGGUUCUCUUUUGCGCUCCAGUGUCCUGCAAGUGGAUCUCACUGCCCACGCUUCCCCAAGGGGUGAAGAAAUGGGAGACCAGAGUCCAUGACCGAGACUCCGAAGAGGAGCUGGUGCCCUAAGUGGUCACCUCGGUAGCGUCAGCUUUAAAAGGUGCCUGGAAGAAAGGGGCCAGCAGAAGGAGCAGGAGCUGAGGAGCCUCCUCUGGGCACCAAGACUGUGUCCAGUGCUGGCCCUGGCGACCAGGGCUUUAUACCCACCCCACACCCCACGUCCGCCCGGCCAAUCCCCGCUGAGGCUCGGGACGUGUCACAAUGGGGCGUGGUGCCUGUCCCCGUCCCCACCCCCACCUGAC